GCCCAUAGGUACUUCUGUAGGUCAAUUUCAUGAUUAAAUGAUUGAUGUGGGAGGAUCCACCCCACUGUGGGUGGUGCCACCCCUGGGCAACUGGUCUUGAGCUGUAUAAGGAAGCAGGCUGAACAAGCCAUAAGAAACAAGUCAGGAAGCCGUACUUGUCAUGGCCUUCAGCGCCUGCCUCCAGAUGCCUGUCUUGAGUUCCUGCUCUGACUUCUCUAGAUGUUAGACUGCAACCUGUGAGCUGGCAUAGAGGUUCUGCUGAUCAGAUCCCAGACCCAUGGGGACCCAGCAUCAGCAGGGAUGUACCUGCUAGAGAAGUCCCGUGGCGUGGCUGGUCAUUUCUCCGAACUGUGUGGUCAAUGGCUCUACAAAAGGACAUUCACUCUGGGGAAACCCAGCUACCAUGUUACAAGAAUGCUCAAAAGAAGCACAAAGAAAGAAAUGAUACCUCUAGCCAUGUG